CACAUGCAAGUCGAACGGUAGCACAGAGAGCUUGCUCUCGGGUGACCAGUGGCGGACGGGUGAGUAAUGUCUGGGAAACUGCCUGAUGGAGGGGGAUAACUACUGGAAACGGCAGCUAAUACCGCAUAACGUCGCAAGACCAAAGAGGGGGACCUUCGGGCCUCUUGCCAUCAGAUGUGCCCAGAUGGGAUUAGCUUCUAGGUGGGGUAACGGCUCACCUAGGCGACGAUCCCUAGCUGGUCUGAGAGGAUGACCACCCACACUGGAACUGAGA
rnacentral:rRNA from 1 species